rnacentral:rRNA from 1 species
UCCGUUGUAGCAAUACGAUGGAAAGUCUAGUGGCGAACGGGUGCUUAACACGUGGGCAACCUGCCAGGAAGUGGGGGAUAGCUCGCCGAAAGGCGAAUUAAUACCGCAUGUGAUUAGAGAGGACAUCCUUUCGAAAUUAAAGUCGGGGCAACCUGACGCUUCUUGUGGGGCCCGCGGCCUAUCAGCUAGUUGGUGAGGUAACGGCUCACCAAGGCUUUGACGGGUAGCUGGUCUGAGAGGACGACCAGCCACACUGGGACUGAGACACGGCCCAGACACCUACGGGUGGCAGCAGUCGAGAAUUUUUGACAAUGGGGGAAACCCUGAUCGAGCGACGCCGCGUGGAGGAUGAAGGUCUUCGGAUUGUAAACUCCUGUCAUUGGGGAACAAGGUGCAUACGUUAACUGCGUGUGCAUUGAUAGUACCCGAAGAGGAAGAGACGGCUAACUCUGUGCCAGCAGCCGCGGUAAUACAGAGGUCUCAAGCGUUGUUCGGAUUCAUUGGGCGUAAAGGGUGCGUAGGCGGCGCGGUAAGUCGGGUGUGAAAUCUCGGAGCUUAACUCCGAAACUGCAUUCGAUACUGCCGUGCUUGAGGACUGGAGAGGAGACUGGAAAUUCACGGUGUAGCA